rnacentral:misc_RNA from 1 species
GAUGAAGAACGCAGCGAAAUGCGAUACGUAAUGUGAAUUGCAGAAUUCAGUGAAUCAUCGAAUCUUUGAACGCAUAUUGCGCUCUUUGGUAUUCCGAAGAGCAUGCUUGUUUGAGUAUCAGUAAACACCUCAACCUCUUCUUGAUUUUUCAAAAGGAGGGUGGACUUGAGCUAUCCCAACAACCUUUACCGGUCGGCGGGUGGCUUGAAAUGCAGGUGCAGCUGGACUUUUAUCUGAGCUAAAAGCAUAUCUAUUUAGUCCUCGUCAAACAGGAUUAUUACUUUUGCUGCAGCUAACAUAAAGGAUAAUUGUCCUCUUUGCUGACUGAUGCAGGAUUUUACGACACUUUAUGUGUUGUUCAACUCGAUCUCAAAUCAAGUAAGACUACCCGCUGAACUUAAGCAUAUCAAUAAGCGGAGGA